CAAAUGGGUGUAGAACCUUCUUGGGACUGCUGAAAGGACUGUGUUGUAGACAGGAGACAGCUGGUGCUGUUGAGAGGCAGCUGUUCAAUUUUAACAUAGGUGGCUUUUUUGAUCCCUCUUUCAAACUAAUGGUCUUCUCCGUCCAAAAUGUGAACUUUGCGGUUUUCAAAAAAUGGUGUGUGUGUGUGUGUGUGUGAGAGAGAGAGAGAGAGAGAGAGAGAGAGAGAGAGAGAGAGAAAAAGAGAGAGAGAGAGAGUAUAGAAAAGCCAAUUUAAAGACAGAUACAGAAUAGAUAGAUAGAUAGAUAGAUAGAUAGAUAGAUAGAUAGAUAGAUAAUAGAUAGAUUGAUGGAUUGAUGGAUACAUACGUAUCAAACUAAAAUUACACAGCUUGCUUCAAUUUUUUCCAAGCUGUGGUUUACUGUUUAAACAAUGGCUGAGUCUAGAACAUAACAAGCCACAUUGCCCAGUCUUGUCAGUCUGUUCCUUCAGGAACUGAAAGUUGACCAGUUUCAUUCACUGAAUCUGAUAAAGUCUCAAAAAUGGAAAAAAAUCAAACUGAUAUAAUCUUUCAACUCUACUUGGAAAUAUGUCCAAGGAACUCAAUUCACUUUUCAGAAAUGCUUAGGACUAUGAGUCUGGCACAUAACAGAAUUGCAAUGAAUAUUGUAAGGUAGUAAUGGCUAGUUUAAACCAAGGCAUUUACGUGGGACUCACUUCAGUUAAAUAGAGAUUUAGCACAAACUUCCAGUUUUUCUUGUUGCCCUGAGUCACCCUAUAAUGACAUGUUUUCUGGAAAGCAGACCAAAAACGUUUUGACAUUCUGCUUCUCUCUGCAUGGAAUAACUUGCAUACUAAUGGCACACUGGAAGGUAAUCAUAAUUAUAUUUUCUCAUCUAAAAUGUUAUGAUCAUUCUUUUUGGAAGAAACUGAAAUGUCUUGACAUUUAUGAUAUUUAUUUUGUUUGCCUAAUAUAACUGCAGUGCCAACUGCUGACAUAUAAACUGCUGGAUGAACUAAAUUAAUUUGACUUUGUGAAGACUGCCAUUUCUUGGUAAUGCAUAAUUAAUCCAAAUAUUUCUUUAGAAUUGCAACAUAAAUGCAAUUUAAUCUUUAUGAGGGAUUAUAUUCUUAAAUCCUAAGGGCAUUCCAAUAGGACUGCAAAAGUUCUAUGCUUUUCCAUGCUAAUGUAUCUUGCAAAGUGUAUACCUCCUGCCCAAUGAAUUAGACAUUUAAAUUAGAUAUACUCUUGUGGACUAAUAUUAUUUUUAAUAAGUAAAAUCUUUUAACUUCUGCUUUAGAAAAAAUAUUGGAUCAUUUCAAAACCUGUAAAGUGUAACCCAGGAAAGUACAUUUUCUCUGUACAUAAUUUUUGUGAUUUGUCAUGAAAAAUUUACAAAUGGAAACAAACAUUAAAAUGUAGAAUUAAAACUAUCUGCCCAACAGGAAUAAUUUCCAAUUUGGGCUUUUUAGCCGAUUGUUUCUUCUCAUUAGAAAUUCUAUUUUACUGUCUCUGCACUUUCCAUUUUUCUUUCUUAAUGUUCUGUGGCUACCCACUGUGGUAAAUUCUCAUUAAUCCUUAUUUUGUCUUGCCUCAUUAGAUUUUUCUAUUUGUGUUUCUACACAUUUUGCAAGCUGCACCCCACCACACACACUCUCAUUUCACCGUUGCCUCAUUUUGGCUCCAUUCUGAUUGGUCUUCAUAACCUGAAAUCAUUAUUAGAGGAAAUGAUUAAUUCUUCAAUAUAAAUGAUUCAACUGUUUAGAGGUGGAGAAUGAAAUAUUAUAUCACUAGUAUACAAUUUGUAAUUUAAUGACAAAUUAAAUUCAGAACAUUAACACAUAUUCAAAUUGUGACUGAUAUUUUAUCUGUGUUUCCUCUGAACAAACUAUAAGAGAAAAUCCUUACUCAAUAUAUAUUCCUGCCUUCCUAAUUUUUCUGAUUUUGCUAUAAGUAUAUGCAGUACUAUAAAUAGCACAGUAAUCAUCUCAUAAAUACAUGGCUUCCAAAAAUUAUUUAGAGACAGAUUUUUUUGAUAUUUCAGUUAUUACUUUAUCAUGCUACUUUCUGUUGUGGGAAGUUGUUGUUGUUGUUGUUUGUUUCUACCUUAUCUUUACAACCUUUUAAAAUGCUGAGAUUACUUUGCCUAGGAUGAACGACACCCAUGACAACUGGGAAGUUAUUUCAGGAUAGGUCUCUGUUUUUGAAUCUUGACAACAGAGCAAUGAUCUUAUUUUAAUUAUAAACCAGAUAGAUGAUGCUUAUCUUUUGUUCUACAGUGAGAUGAUUGGAUUCCCCUUUGCUCAUUGCUUUUUAAUAUUUUAAUAAUUGCACAAACUAAUCUAGGGACAGAAUCCCCUGUUACAAUGCUCCUUUAUUGAAAUAGGCACUAUACUGGUCCCUAUGGAAAGAUAAUGGGUUUCUGCAGAAGGUCAAGAUGGCAGUCACAGCAGUCAAAGCCCAUACAAAAGGAGUGGGGUUUUGAUGAUGCUCCUAUGACUGCCAUCCUUGACUUUCUUUCUUUUUUUUACCUUUCUGACCCCCGCACCCCGGUGGACCUCACCAGUAUUGACAAUGCACUCUGUCUACUUAGUUCUGAAUAUUACUAAGUGGAAGUCUACUCAAAAGUCAAUCCAUGAGUUCAGUUGGGAUUAUUUAAUUUUACUGUUAGGAGUUUAAUUUAGGAAUGAACGAUUCUUAUAUAUUUUUUUAUGUGGCUCAAUUGUUUUCUAGACUUAGUCCUUCUCUUUUAUUGUUGAGGUAAUAAAUCUGGGCUAUUUCAAAA